GUUUUUAUAAUUUAAAUAAAAUAUUGGUUUUGUAAACCAAAAAUAGAUUGAUUCUUAAAAAUA
rnacentral:tRNA from 1 species